rnacentral:lncRNA from 1 species
CGGAUCUGGAAUGGAAGCAAAUAAUAACCGGGUCUCCAGAUUCCAUCGUAUCACAGAACAUAGAACCAAGAAAGUACCUUAGAAGUCAUCUGAUCCAGUCACCCCUGUUUUACCAAUGAGGAAUCUAGACCCAGAAGAAGUUAAAGGACUUACCCAAGAGUACCCAACAACUCUCUCACCACCCCAGGCUCCCAUCUUUGUGUCUCUCCUGUGUGAGCUGUUCCCUGAAGUUCUUCCUGAACUUGCACAUUGCCUUUCCCUUUGAUUUUAAAUCCUUGGCUCAAAUGACAUGCCCGGACUAUAUCGUGUGAUAUGAGCUUGAAAAGUAAUUUACGUACAAGUCUUGAAAGCAAAUCAAGUUUUAAAACAAAGUAGCAUCUACUCUGCCCCAGCCUUGACAUCUUAUUACAUAGCAAAUGCUGGCUUUUUAAUUUCCCUAAUCAAGACUGGUCCUAUUUAGCCCACCUCCUCAAGGGGUCCCAGCACUAGCCCCACUCCGACGCCUGAUGAAGUUCCAGAACAGUGGAAUCAAGCACAGAGAUGGGCACGCCUCUUUACAGAACCAAAGAUUCAGAACUGUGCCUUACCCUUUGCUUAUGAGGCGGAGGAGGAGGAAGAGAAAGAACCACCGCAAAGAGAGAUGGCAACAAAGGUAAAAUGAAGGCCGGGCAGCCGAUCCCACUCAGGCUGACCACAGUGAGGGAGCAGCAUUAAAAUGAGAAAGGAUCAGGUCUCGAAGCCCAGCCCUUCCCGCUGAAUCUCGUCCUUUGCUUCAUCCAUUCCAUUAAAUAAGUCAUAUUGAAAAUAAAUUAUUAUUA